AAUUAAGAAGCAAGACAUUGGGAGAAGAUAUUUAUUCCAUGUACCACAGAAAGGAAUCUGUCAGAUAUCAGCUACUAGCAAAUUGCUCAGCCUCAGAUGCCUUAGAUGCAUUCCCUCAGUGAUCAAGCAACUCGGAAGAAGUUCAGACCAGCGAUUUGAGGAGAAUUAGAAACAUGAGCUUACUGCCGAAGGAAAAGACUCAACCCUGAGAAUAGGGUUCAUUGCUAGAAACAGAAG